rnacentral:rRNA from 1 species
UAUAGCGUUUCUGCUCAUGGAACUCUAAAUAGCCGCAGUACUCUGACUGUGCAAAGGUAGCAUAAUCAAUUGGCCUCUAAUUAAGGUCUGGAAUGAACGAACUUAUGGGUAGCAACUGUCUUAAAAUAGUUUAUUAAAUUGAUCAAUAAGUGCAAAGACUUAUUCAAUUAUAUUAGACGAGAAGACCCUAGAAACUUGUAAUUAUUUUGUUGGGGCGACAGAAUUACAUAAAACUAAUUUUAGUUUACGGGACGUAAAACAGAAAGAAAAAGUUACUCUAGGGAUAACAGCAUAAUUUUAAAUAGCUUGUGACCUCGAUGUUGGACUAGGUAGAUGGCUUUUUAGAAGAAAGCUUUCUUGGCUCUGUUCGAGCAAUUUUAACCUACAUGAUCUGAGUUCAAACCCC